rnacentral:rRNA from 1 species
AGCAGCCGCGGUAAUUCCAGCUCCAAUAGCGUAUAUUAAAGUUGUUGCAGUUAAAAAGCUCGUAGUUGAAUUUCGGGGUCAGCAAGUUGGUCGUGCCACCGGUAUGCACUGGCUUUGCUGAUUCCUCCUUCUUGUAGAACCGUAAUGCCAUUAAGUUGGUGUUGCGGGGAAACAGGACUGUUACUUUGAAAAAAUUAGAGUGUUUAAAGCAGGCUAAGGCUUGAAUACAUUAGCAUGGAAUAAUGAAAUAGGACGACGAUCCUAUUUUGUUGGUUUCUAGGAUUGACGUAAUGAUUAAUAGGGAUAGUUGGGGGCAUUAGUAUUCAAUUGUCAGAGGUGAAAUUCUUGGAUUUAUUGAAGACUGACUACUGCGAAAGCAUUUGCCAAGGAUGUUUUCAUUAAUCAAGAACGAAAGUUAGGGGAUCGAAGACGAUCAGAUACCGUCGUAGUCUUAACCAUAAACUAUGCCGACUAGGGAUCGGACGAUGUUAACUUUUCUUGACUCG